GCCCUUGUAGUUCAACGGAUAGAACGAAAGACUCCUAAGCUUUAAAUAGAGGUUCGAUUCCUCUCAAGGGCA
rnacentral:tRNA from 1 species